rnacentral:rRNA from 1 species
UACGGGGGGGGCAAGCGUUGUUCGGAAUUACUGGGCGUAAAGGGCUCGUAGGCGGCCAACUAAGUCCGACGUGAAAUCCCUAGGCUCAACCUAGGAACUGCGUCGGAUACUGGAUGGCUUGAAUUCGGGAGAGGGAUGCAGAAUUCCAGGUGUAGCGGUGAAAUGCGUAGAUAUCUGGAGGAAUACCGGUGGCGAAGGCGGCAUCCUGGACCGGUAUUGACGCUGAGGCGCGAAAGCCAGGGGAGCAAACAGG